ACAAAAAAGAAGCAAAAACUGUACUUUAGAGAUAGAACUUUAUGCGGUUGCAGACUGGAACCAAAAGCUCUCCGUCCUUAGCACAUUAAGAGCAAGGAGUGACAAGUCUGAAGUGACAGGUCUGGGAGGAGAGGGACCCUCCUAGGACACAGGAGCACAGAACACGCCCAGUGGAGGCUGCUCACCCAUGGAAUGAGAAUAAAGGCGACUCGACAAAACUGAAUUGUCACUGAAUCAGGAUGCAGCGCCACUGGCCUUUAGGGUACAGACAGCAGCCCCUCCGAGGCCGAUGGGCCAAGCUGGGGAGGUCACUGCUCACAGCCGAGACCCCUGGGGCCACCAGGAGCUCACCAGGAGCUUUGAAAGAACCAAUCUGAAGCUGGGCAUGGUGAUGCACACCUGUAAUCCCAGCACUUGGGAGGCUGAAGCAGGAGGAUUCCCUGAAGUUC